UACGUAGGCAGCGAGCGUUGUUCGGAAUUACUGGGCGUAAAGAGUGUGUAGGCGGUGCUCUAAGUUCGGUGUGAAAUCUCCUGGCUCAACUGGGAGGGUGCGCCGGAAACUGGAGUGCUUGAGCGUGGGAGAGGAAAGCGGAAUUCCUGGUGUAGCGGUGAAAUGCGCAGAUAUCAGGAGGAACACCGGUGGCGAAGGCGGUUCUCUGGGCCUGUACUGACGCUGGAGGAGCGAAAAGCGUGGGGGAGCGAAACAGG
rnacentral:rRNA from 1 species